UGGAGCUGCUACUAACCGUCAGUUUACGUCGAGCGGUGAUCACCCCAUCCCCCCGACCCCCGCCCCGGGCCGAAUAUCCGCCUGUUCAAUGCGCGGUGAUCCUCCUCAAGAAUCCGCCACUCGCUUGUUCGAUGUGUGGUAAUCCCUCCCCUACAGAAUCCGCCUGGUUUAACCUGAAGCGGAGACUUCAUUCUGGCUGGACUCGAUGUUGAGGACUCCCAGGGCAACUCCCUCCCAACUGUAUAUCACUGUGCUGCCACCUCUGCUCACUAGAACAGGACAAAUCCUGGGAUGGUGUAAGGGCUGGAAACAGACACAACUACUCCAUAGUGAACUGGCCCAAACAGCAAACAAAGAAUGGCUGAAAUGAAGAGUAGCUGAAAACAACAAUACCC